AUUUGAUGAUGUGGGCAACUGGCACACAGUUGUUUAAAGCGCUCCCAGUACUCAUAUAGAGUUUCCCCAUUCGCCUGCCUAACUCCACAUAUUUCUUUCCUUAUAUU